UUGGGUAGUAUCAGUUAUUUUCUAAAAACCUAAAAGAUUUGGCGGUGUUUUAUUCUGUUUAGAGGAAUGAGUUUUUGUAUCGAUGAUCCACGAUUAUCUUACUUAUUUUUAUUAAUUUAUUUUGUAUAUCUCCGUCAUUGAUUAUUUUUAAAAAGUAUUUUCUUUAUAUUAAGGUAAAUUUGAUGUCAGGUCAAGGUGCAGAUUAUAAAUAAGUGAAAAUUCAUUACAUUUAAGUUAAAAUUUGUUUAUUGGAUAAUUUUCUGAAAUUGGAGGUUUAAAAUUGGAUUUAAAAGUAAAAUUAAUUUAUUAUGUUAAUUUGA
rnacentral:rRNA from 1 species